ACCUAAAACGUGAACUUUCACGGGCUAGUCAGUGCCCUGAACACUUCCUAAUUAUUGUUUGAAUUAUGUGACUUCUGGAAGAGGAACUGUUUCUUGCAGGAGGCAAAAUGCUUUUCUGGGGGCAGGAGAGUAUGUCGGUAUUAUGCGCUGCGGUUGUGGUUUGUCUGCAGGAGCAAGUCGGCUUCUUGGAGAUGCCUGAGAGGCAAAUACCUUGACUCCAUUCGGUCCAAAGCAGUCUUUGCAGGCUGCCAAUGCUGCUGCUGCUGCUGCUCUACCUGGCCAGAUCAGAUGGGAAUGGAGAUAGCGUCUCUGCUUAUAUUCUUUGGAACGGUGUGAAAACAAACACACACCCUUUUUCACAGCUGAAGACAACCUUCCUGUAAACACUGUCCAAAAAAAAAAAAAAGCCCACUCUCUUUUAUUUGGCUAUUUUAGAUGCUGGCUGUUCUGCUGUGGAUCACGGUGUGAGAUAAAUCUCACAAAGGGAACAGUGUGUGGGCUGGGCCCAAAAUAACAUGCGGUAGCUUUGGUUUAAAAACAUUGUGUGCAAAAAUAUGUUAAUUCUUUGUACAAAACACAAGUAUCCUAUUUAGCAUUCCAGUUUCUGACCUACUUGUUACACACAAAUGAGCAAGGCUUGAAUAUAUCUUCUGUGUUUUGUAGAAGAAUAUGAAAUUACUAACUUUGAGGCUGUCCUGGUUUGUGUCUUUGAACACAUUGUGCGUCUCUUUGGGCUGCUGUAACGACAUAAUGUAGAGCAGAUGUGUGGUGUGGAGUGAAUAUUGAUAAGCAAACUGCUUAACAAACAGUAAAAUGACAAAUAAAAGCUAGAAAAAUACAAAUUCCACACAUGAACGGAAAGCAGAGUUGUGGAAAAAUAAACAAGGACAGACUAAAUGUAAAAAGAAGUUACACAGUAAAAGGAAAAUAUGACUAUGCUUCAUUCAGAAUAUGCUAAUAUGCUUUUUGCCAGCUAGACUGUACAUGGCGAUCAAUAGACACAUUCAGUAGCCUGGAGCUAAUUUGAGCCUAGUGUUUACUAGUAGGUUAUACAGUCUGAAAAUUAAUAGAGAAUAAGUUUGUCAAGGAGAAAUAAAGUCAAGACAAUACCUGUCAUUUUGUUUGUUUAGCCCAUCCUAAAAAGCAAGUUUACAUCACAGCUAACCAUUCUGCAAACCACGCAUCUGUGUGUUAGAAAUGUAAUACCGGUACUAUCUUUUCUACUGCUCUAAACAUCCAAUGGUUACCAUUCAUUUCUUCCUGGUAUGACAAUCUACGGUAAUGCAAUAUAAAAACAAAUUUGUUGAUUUGAUGAUUGAUUUGAUGGCAUGGCAUUACCUCAUAACAAUGAUACAACUUUGACAAAAAUGAAUGCAGACUUGAUAUUCCCUGUGAUGGAAUUCAAGCAAGUUUCAAGAGUCAGCAUCACUAUUCUCAUCCUGUGGGAAAAUUAAUGGAAACCAAUGGCUGCCUGGAAUGAAAAAUAGAUCCAAAAUUUUAAAACUCGUAUACCAUGCAUUAAAAAAUGUAGGAUAUGGCCUUUCA